rnacentral:lncRNA from 1 species
UCGGUAGCGAAGGGCUGGAGGCAAACACCGAGCUCCCCCUGAGCCGCCUGGGAGCAGGGAGGGUUCUGCUACCCUGAGGGGCCCUCCCCGCGGGGCAGAGGGGUUUCCUCAGCAGUGCCCCGGAGCAGGGACCGCGCCAGCCAGCAGAAACAGCUAGUUGUUGUCUGCAGUGAAGAAUAAUUGGAAGCAUGGUGCCUGUUUCUUUUCCUGUGGGAGGAAGUCACAGCAUCUACUUCUGAAUCUGUGCUUGCCUUGAGGAAAAACGGCAUGGCACAGGAAUGUGGACGCUUUCAACCAGAGGAUUCUGUACGACGGUGUCGGCACACAUGACAUGAAAUUACUGAAAUCAUAUUUGGCCGAGCAAGCAUGAAGACCACAGAAGGACAGAGAUGGGAGAUCGUCAUUAGUUUAACAAGGAGUGUUCCACUGACUGACCUCUUUUUGUUUUCAAAUGAAGAGGAGCCAAGAAUAGGACAGCUUGGGAAGCUCAUCCUCGUCUACGGCCAAACGUUGGUUUCUCAUUUCUAGAAGAUGAAAGAUGUGAUGACUCAGGAAAAACUUGCUGCUCGAGAUGUGAGUCUUCAGAUGUUCCUGCCGCCAUAUCUGACAGCUGCUGCCAAGAUUCCCUGGUGGGAUGGACUCUUAUACCUCAACAACCAGAAGCCCAAGUAAACUCUUCUAUAAAUUGAAUGACUCAUGCUUAAAAAAAAAAACAAAAAACAAACUAUCUUUAUUUUGUGUGCAUUGGUGUUUUGCCUACAUAUAUGUCUGUGUGAGAGUGUCAGAUUCCUUGGAACUGUAGCUACAGAUAGUUGUGAGCCACCAUGUGGGUGCUGGGACUUGAACCCCAGUCCUCUAGAAGAGCAGCUGGUAGGUACUCUUAACCACUGGACCAUCCCUCUAGACCCUGAUCAUGGUGUUUUAACUACAGCAAAAGAAAAGUAAUUAGCACAAUCAGGUUAGCCAGAGGGCACACCUGUGACAGAUUUUUCCUAAGUGCAUUCAUCAGGGGGAGGCCCACCCUGGAUGGGGGCAGCACCCUUCCUUGGGUUUGGGUCUUAGAAAGAAUAAACACAGAGAGGGAGCUGAGCACAAGCCAGCAAGCACAAGCUAAGCAAGCACUGUCCAGUCUUCCUCUGCUUUGACUGAGGAUGUGACGUGUCUAGCUGCUUCAGGUUUCUGCCUCGAAUCCCCUGCAGUCAUAGACUAUAACCUGGAAUUGUGAGCCAAAAGAAAAACAAAAGAAAACAAAAUCCAUUUUCUCCCCAUAUGUUGCUUUUUGGUCAAAGCAUUUGAUCCCAGUAACAGAAAAGAAAUGAGGACAGGCAAGAAGAGGCCAUACCACAGAGCCAGGAGCAGGUUGUAGUGCCAAGUUGCAGAGGCCGGGGAGGAGCAUAGGUGCAGAGCAGCCGCUGUCAGAAUGUUCAGGGAAAAGGAGAAGAGAGGAUGUGUCAGGGAAGUGAGCUGGCUCAGUCCAUAACAGCAUGGUCUUGCUGUCUUUUACAGGGUCUGAAGUCUACCUUAGUGCAGUGGGAGCCACUAACUGUCCUAGUAUGAAGGAAGGAUAUUGAUGUUUUUUGGGCAUGUAAGUGUGUGUGUGUGUGUGUGUGUGUGUGUGUCCCCAUACUCUAGGGACUGAGCCUCCUCACCCAUGUACCACACAGCUUCAGUCCCAGUCCCAUAUUUUGUUUUCAAUCAAACUUUAUACAAAUGUUUCUCAAGAAAAUUAUAAGUUACUUCUUUUAUUUCUCAUUAAUAAUAUUUUGGGG